rnacentral:rRNA from 1 species
GAUGAACGCUGGCGGCGUGCCUAAUACAUGCAAGUCGAGCGAACAGAUCAGGAGCUUGCCUCUCUGACGUUUGCGGCGGACGGGUGAGUAACACGUGGAUAACCUACCUAUAAGACUGGGAUAACUUCGGGAAACCGGAGCUAAUACCGGAUGAUAUAUUGAACCGCAUUGUUCAAUAGUAAAAGACGGCUUUGCUGUAACAUAUAGCGGGAUCCGAGCCGCAUUAUCUAGUUGGUAAGGUAACGGCUUACCAAGGCAACGAUGCGUAGCCGACCUGAGAGGGUGGUAGGCGACACUGGAGCUGAGACGCGGUCCAGAGUCCUACGGGAGGCAGCAGUAUGGAAUCUGCCGCAAUGGGCGAAAGCCUGACGGAGCAGCGCCGCGUGAGUGAUGACGGUCUUCGGAUCGUAACACUCUGUUACGAGGUAAGAACAAAUGUGUAAGUAACUGUGCACGUCUUGACGGUACCUGAUCAGAAAGCCACGGCUAACUACGUG